rnacentral:rRNA from 1 species
CCCUUAGAUGUUCUGGGCCGCACGCGCGCUACACUGAUGCAUUCAACGAGUCUAAAACCUGGUCUGAUAGGGCUGGGUAAUCUUUUGAAAGUGCAUCGUGAUUGGGAUAGAUGAUUGCAAUUCUUCAUCUUCAACGAGGAAUGCCUAGUAAACACAAGUCAUCAGCUUGCAUUGAUUACGUCCCUGCCCUUUGUACACACCGCCCGUCGCUCCUACCGAUUGAAUGAUCCGAUGAAUACCAUGGAUUGAGAGUACGAAUGGGUUCGCUCAUUUCUGCUGCUCGAGAAGUGGAGUAAAUCUUAUCAUUUAGAGGAAGGAGAAGUCGUAACA